GAUGAACGCUGGCGGCGUGCUUAACACAUGCAAGUCGAGCGGGCAAUUUAUCUAGCACUGAUUACUUCAAAUGGAAAUCAUAAGUGUAAUCAUGAAUUUCUACCUUUAAUAAAGAAAAAAGAAAUUCAUGUACGCAAAUAGUGAUAACACAUUUUAGUGAAGUGAUGAGUGCUGGAUAAAUUGCUAGCGGCGGACGGGUGCGUAACACGUGGGUAACCUGCCCCUAUCACUGGGAUAACACACUGGAAAGUGUGCUAAUACCAGAUAAUAUAAGCUUUUGGCAUCAUUAGCUUAUCAAAGAAUUUCGGAUAGGGAUGGGCCCGCGUCUGAUUAGCUAGUUGGUGAGGUAACGGCUCACCAAGGCAACGAUCAGUAGCCGACCUGAGAGGGUGAUCGGCCACACUGGAACUGAGACACGGUCCAGACUCCUACGGGA
rnacentral:rRNA from 1 species